CCUACGGGAGGCUGCAGUGGGGGAUAUUGGACAAUGGGGGGAACCCUGAUCCAGCGACGCCGCGUGAGUGAAGAAGUAUUUCGGUAUGUAAAGCUCUGUCAGCAGGGAAGAAAGCAAUGACGGUACCUGACCAAGAAGCCCCGGCUAACUACGUGCCAGCAGCCGCGGUAAUACGUAGGGGGCAAGCGUUAUCCGGAAUUACUGGGUGUAAAGGGGGCGUAGACGGCUGUGCAAGUCUGGAGUGAAAGGCGGGGGCCCAACCCCCGGACUGCUCUGGAAACUGGAUGGCUGGAGUGCAGGAGAGGUAAGCGGAAUUCCUAGUGUAGCGGGGAAAUGCGUAGAUAUUAGGAGGAACACCAGUGGCGAAGGCGGCUUACUGGACUGUAACUGACGUUGAGGCUCGAAAGCGUGGGGAGCAAACAGGAUUAGAUACCCUUGUAGUC
rnacentral:rRNA from 1 species